UACUCAGCCAGUCGAUAUUGAAAACAGUCAUAUCCCCCGGUAACUGAAUAAUCACGUCUUCCUCUUUAUAAGCACGAAGUGGAUCCAAACUGAAUCGACGAUUACGAUAGACUCGGAAGACACUCCGUGCGAUCGUUUUGUUAGCUGAGAGAUCUUCUGAGGAGCCGGUGGAUCGAACUCUUCAGGAAUGUAUACGUCUCCAAACGUAUUCUAGAUUUAAAAGGCUUGUAACGUAUAGAUAUUUUAACAUUCGAUACGGUAAAUUAUCAAAAUUAUUCUACCUGACUUCCAAGAUCGUAUACAGCAAACCAUUUGAUAUCUGUUAUCUUUUUAUUAUCCGGUAAGCUUUAACCAAAUCCGUUAUCUAUCGAACGGAACAGACUUUCCCCAUUCGUCGGGUACGAUGAAACCUUGAGGGCCCGGUCGAUUCGAUGCACCAGCCCAGAAGAAGGUGUCGGCUCCGUUACCGUCGU